rnacentral:rRNA from 1 species
AGAGUUUGAUCCUGGCUCAGGAUGAACGCUAGCGGCAGGCCUAACACAUGCAAGUCGAGGGGCAGCAUUUCCAGCUUGCUGGAAGAUGGCGACCGGCGCACGGGUGCGCAACGCGUAUGGAACCUGCCCGCUACAGGGGAAUAGCCCGGGGAAACCCGGAUUAACGCCCCAUGUUCCCCGUCCGCCGCAUGGCGUGGCGGGGCAAAGGCUUCGGCCGGUAGCGGAUGGCCAUGCGUAGCAUUAGCUAGUCGGUAAGGUAACGGCUUACCGAGGCCACGAUGCUUAGGGGCCCUGAGAGGGGGAUCCCCCACACUGGUACUGAGACACGGACCAGACUCCUACGGGAGGCAGCAGUGAGGAAUAUUGGACAAUGGGCUCACGCCUGAUCCAGCCAUGCCGCGUGCGGGAAGAAGGCCCUACGGGUCGUAAACCGCUUUUGUACGGGAAGAACAUGGGGCACGUGUGCCCCUUUGACGGUACCGUAAGAAUAAGGACCGGCUAACUCCGUGCCAGCAGCCGCGGUAAUACGGAGGGUCCGAGCGUUAUCCGGAAUCAUUGGGUUUAAAGGGUCCGUAGGCGGGCCGUUAAGUCAGGGGUGAAAGCCCGCGGCUCAACCGCGGGACUGCCCUUGAUACUGGCGGUCUUGAGUGAUAGUGGAGUGGGCGGAAUGUGCAGUGUAGCGGUGAAAUGCAUAGAUAUUGCACAGAACACCGAUCGCGAAGGCAGCUCACUAACUAUCCACUGACGCU